ensembl:snoRNA
AGGCUGCAGCGCCAGAGCACAAGCUUGCGUAUAACUGGGGCCGCCGGCCUUCUCCGCGGGCGGCCCUUUUAACCGCAAGCGACAUGG